rnacentral:rRNA from 1 species
UACGUAGGGGGCAAGCGUUGUCCGGAAUCAUUGGGCGUAAAGAGCGCGUAGGCGGCCCUGUAAGUCCGCUGUGAAAGUCAAGGGCUCAACCCUUGGAUGCCGGUGGAUACUGCAGGGCUAGAGUCCGGAAGAGGCGAGUGGAAUUCCUGGUGUAGCGGUGAAAUGCGCAGAUAUCAGGAGGAACACCGGUGGCGAAGGCGGGUCUCUGGGCCGAUACUGACGCUGAGGAGCGAAAGCGUGGGGAGCAAACAGG